GAUGAACGCUGGCGGCGUGCCUAAUACAUGCAAGUCGAGCGAACAGACGAGGAGCUUGCUCCUCUGACGUUAGCGGCGGACGGGUGAGUAACACGUGGAUAACCUACCUAUAAGACUGGGAUAACUUCGGGAAACCGGAGCUAAUACCGGAUAAUAUAUUGAACCGCAUGGUUCAUUAGUGAACGACGGUUUUGCUGUCACUUAUAGAUGGAUCCGCGCCGCAUUAGCUAGUUGGUAAGGUAACGGCUUACCAAGGCAACGAUGCGUAGCCGACCUGAGAGGGUGAUCGGCCACACUGGAACUGAGACACGGUCCAGACUCCUACGGGAGGCAGCAGUAGGGAAUCUUCCGCAAUGGGCGAAAGCCUGACGGAGCAACGCCGCGUGAGUGAUGAAGGUCUUCGGAUCGUAAAACUCUGUUAUUAGGGAAGAACAAAUGUGUAAGUAACUAUGCAUGUCUUGACGGUACCUAAUCAGAAAGCCACGGCUAACUACGUG
rnacentral:rRNA from 1 species